rnacentral:sRNA from 1 species
UACUCUUGUUAAUCCAAGUAGCUGACUCUCCUUAUUAGAGUAGUUAACCCAAACCCAAACCUAGACUUCUUUCAAGCCCUAUAUCACUUGUGAGUGUUUGUGAGCUCUUAUUCCGAUUAAGCUUGGUAGAAAGUGUUAGGUUCGUAACGACAGAGAUAGUGUCUCAUGUAGUUCUAGUUCGCAUUUUUCGGACUAGAUAGGACUAGGUGGGCGUUUAUACUUUGGGUUGGGAUGUGUUUAAAAGAAAAAAAAGGGGUUGAUUCAUUGAUGAGAAAAAGUAAAAGACUUUAGGUGAAGUAAUCUAAAGAAGCAGAAAAAGUCUAGUAAAGGUUUUGGGAUUUGUAUAAAAAGAAAGAGUUCUUGUUAGCUAUUGAAGAUGGGCAAAACCCCUCAGUUUUAAAAUGUUAAAAACAGGAACCUUAGUUGUUAAAGAAAUCCAAAUCCGCUAGAUGUAUCAAAGUGUUGAGAAAGCUUCUCCUAGAGUUAAGAGAAAAUAAAAGAAUGAUUAGAAAAAGGGCUUACAAGAUUCAUGAAUGCAAAGGGUAGAGUUAAGUUCUUAUAUUGGGAUUCGAGAUGGGAUUACCAUUAGAGAUUCAUUUGAUAUACUCUGGGUAGAUGAUCUUAUAUUGAUCUUAUCUCUGUAUGCAUAGCUUGGGACUUACCUUUAGCAUUCUACUAAAGCUUAAUCAUUUUUUGAGAGAUCCCCUGUUACUGAAGCCUAUUCUGUAAGGGACCAUCUUUGUCUUUUGACCUUUUACCUUAGCCAAAUGAGUUCAUUGAUGAUGCAUUGCUUGAUUCACGUUCCAGAACUAAAGAAUGUUAAAGGGAUUGGUAGAUUUGAAAACAUGUGUAGGUCGAGCAUAUGAGUCGAAUUAUAAUAAGGCAUGGCUAACGUUUUUGAGUAGAAUUCGACCAUAUCGCCGCUUAGAACUAUCAACUUGGACAUUGAUUUUAUCUGGUUUAUCUGGUGUUUUGGCUCUGAGUCCCCGCUUUCAAACCUCACCUCCAGCUUGUUCUUGAUUGUUUGCUUGAGGGCAAGAAAAUACUAAGUUUGGGGGAGUUGAUAAGUGUGUAUUUUGCAUGUUUUGAGCAUCCAUUUGUCAUCACUUUAGCACCAUAUCAUCACUGUUUUAUACCAUUUCUCAUCAUUUGUCAUCACUUUGCAUGUUUAGGAUAGGUUUGCAUGCAUGUUGCAAAUUUGUGUUGAUUUCAGGUGAUUUGGAGCUGUUGACGAGCUAACUGGAAGAAGCGGACCUGAUCAUGUCAAACCACAAUAGACCACUUGACCCCUUGGUCGAGUAGGGGACUUCUCGAUUUCAUCUCAUCACUCGACCCCCUAGCAGAGUACCACCACGAGAGAUACUCGAUCACUUCACUCGACCCCCUGGUCGAGUGUCUUCACCUCCACCACCUGACCACCACUCGAUCACACCACUCUACCUGGAAGUCGAGUAUCACCAUCACCACCACUCGAAUACCUACUCGAUGGCGAGCUUCAGAGUCUUCUCCAUUCCGCACUCAACCAGACACUCGAGCACAAGGAAGAAAAGAAGACUCCUGCUAUUCACUCGACCUCUCACUCGACCACCUGGGUCGAGUACAGUUCUUAAUCCGUCCCAAUACUCAUCGUUUUGAGUAUUAGGGUUUUGGAAUAUUUUGCUAUAGGUAGCAUGUACUUUACAUUUUCGAAAACAAGUUUUUAUCUAGGUUUUAUUCCGCAGACGUUGUGUUCUAGAUCUUUUUGUAAUCCGGAUUUCUCUUUAUUUAUUCAGUAUUUAGUAUGUAGUAUUUGUUCUUGAUUUCGUUUA